GGGGUGUGCUCAGAGCAGGGGGCCUAAAGAGUGGCUCCUCUGUUUACAACACACCCAACAGGAAUCUCGGGUCAUUGUGACAAAGGGCGGCACAGAACUUGGGGCCUCCCUACAAACAAAUGCCCUACACUU